UCGUAGGUGACCUGCGGAAGGAUCAUUAAAGAAAAUACAUUACCACACAUACGAACAUAACAACAUUUGGCAGCUCGCUGCCAAAGGUAAAACCCAAUAACAUAAUUUGUCUAUUUUAACUAAUAAUUAAAACUUUCAACAACGGAUCUCUUGGUUCUCGCAUCGAUGAAGAACGCAGCGAAAUGCGAUAAGUAAUACGAAUUGCAGCCUUUGUGAAUCAUCGAAUCUUUGAACGCACAUUGCACCUUGAGGUAUUCCUCAAGGUAUGCCUGUUUGAGCGUCAGACUCCCUCAAACCCUUGGGUUUGGCAGUGAGUGCACGAACGUCUACUCGAAAAACAUACUGUUUCAUGUUCUAGGAUUACCCCACCAUGAUACACUAACCUUU
rnacentral:misc_RNA from 1 species